AACUAGAGCUUAAUAUCUUUGGGGACUUCUGGGAGCCAGGGUACAACGUGUGCCUCAGAGUGAUCCCAAAUGGGGGGAGGAAGCUGGGGUAUUUAUGCACCAGCUCCAAUCGUUUGGAGACUGCUGGGAAAGGGCAAUUGAUGACCUGCUGGGGAGCAGACAGAAGGACUGGCUGCUGAAGAAAGUCCUCAGGCAAAGAGAUGCCACUUACCACAACCCUGAGCGAGGCCCAGGUGUCAUCAGUGAUGGAAGAACAGAAGGAUGAAGAGGACUCAUGACUGAAAACUGCAUUGCUGUGGAUCCAAAGGGAACCAAAAAUGGAGGAAAAAAGCCAUUUGUACCACUAAUGGGUACACACCAUCUGCAUCUUAAUGACUUUCAAGAAAUUAACAGCUAAUCUUGGAGAGUUCUACCAUGUUGGAUCAAGAGUAAAUACAAGGAGAUAUGUGAGAAGACACAUUGAACAGAAUGGGGUGUUUGCUUCCCUGGAUCAGAAAAGAAUCACAUCGCUUUCUUUCAGUCAUGGCACAGAGUUACAGAGUCAAGAGAAAGAAACAACAGAAAGAAAAUGUUUUCUGGUGGAAAGGUGUGUGUCAGACUACAUUCCACGGAAGAGAGUUUGUUUGAAGAUACAACAAGGAAACCGUGGUCUACAACCCCGGAAGAGGGCUCUCACCAGGACCUGACCAUACUGGACUGAUCUGUGACUUCUAGCCUCCAGAACCGUGAGAAAUAAAUGUCUGUUGUUUAUAA